UCCGUAGGUGGGUAAUUAAGUCAGGGGUGAAAGUCUGCAGCUCAACUGUAGAAUUGCCCUUGAUACUGGUUGUCUUGAGUCAUUAUGAAGUAGUUAGAAUAUGUAGUGUAGCGGUGAAAUGCAUAGAUAUUACAUAGAAUACCAAUUGCGAAGGCAGAUUACUAAUAAUGUACUGACACUGAUGGACGAAAGCGUGGGGAGCGAACAGGAUUAGAUACCCUGGUAGUC
rnacentral:rRNA from 1 species